rnacentral:rRNA from 1 species
CGUGUGUGAAGAAGGUCUUCGGAUUGUAAAGCACUUUUUGGCAGGGACGAUGAUGACGGUACCUGCAGAAUAAGCCCCGGCUAACUUCGUGU